rnacentral:lncRNA from 1 species
UUUUUAAGUUUUGUUGAAAUCGUGAAACGCAGCAACUCAUGUAUUUUUUCGUCUGCUACGAGUGACUUGUGUAGUUCUGCGAAAUAUUUAUUUUUUAAAAAAACAGUGAUAGAAAAGGGGGUUAAGACCUCUUUUGAACUCAGAUACUUCAAUAUCAACAAUGAGGAAGAGGAUGAUGAUGAUGACAAGGAAUAAGUUCGUCUCCCCGUUGUUUCGUUUUUGCUGUAAAGUAAUAAACGAUGACCAUUAUAUUUGUACAAUUGUUACUGCAUUAAACUUGACACCAUUCCUUGACGCAUACUUUCAGGGUUAUUUUUACAUUAAAAAAUUGUCAGUAUUAAGAUUAUUUGUAUGGAACUUUAGUAGGCUGUGUACGAAGGGAAUUUUAAUUUUGCAUUAAGAAGAUUCCAGGUUAUGAAGGAACUUGGUCUAAGCAUUUGCUAGUAAGAUGUCGGAUCCAUUCAUGUGGUUGCAUGUUUCGAUUUGACCAAUAAUUCGUAUCAUACAUGAAGGCUGGGAAGACAGUGAAAGUGAAGUAAAUGCAUUCUGCGUAAAGCAAUCGACCUUCAAUACAACUGUUUUCAAAUUGCAAGUAAAAUAUAAUUAAGUGAAACUAAGCUAAUUUUCUAGAUCUCGAGUAAUAUUUUGUAAAUAUUUAUCUAAACUCAAAAUUGAAAGCCAGACAACAAGUAAUGGAAUGUCAUGUAUAUUUCUCAAUUUACAAAAAUUUCAUCACUUGAAUCAUAACAAAGAUCUUUAUCGACGAUUCAAAUCUAAAUCUUCCAUGAAGGAAGUUAAGUUCAGCCGAAUCUUUUUACUGCCUUGACUUACGUAUUGAAGAAGAUUCAUCAUCUGCCUAGGAGUAUAUUCCUUCAACAAAGGCAUAAACAAAAUUAUUAGCUGCUGACGACGCGAAUUUCUUAAAUUAAUGACAACGAAUUUUCAGGUAAAUAAUAUGCCUUUAUGUAUGUUUCGACAAUAUGUGGGUCAGGAAGAGGUCUUAGACGUGUCAAGCUUUCCACUUUGACUUGAAAAUGCCUGAAGUCUAACUGCAUUAGUGCACGACCUUCGUUCGUGCAUUUUCUUACAGCGGAAAAUCUAAAGAAUUUCAAAUCAGAUACGGUCUUACAUAAAGGAGGCAGAAUCUGAGGGUAACAGACACAAAGGACACUCGAGUCGUAGUCACUGAGAACCUGCAAAAGAAAUAAGAAUUACAUCAUAGAUGGAAUAUGAUUUUGAUAGCUUUUUGUUUCAACAAGAUAUAUGAAGAUAUCUGAGGGAGCAAUUUUUGGAACAAUUGGACAACAGUCUAAACCAUGUUUCCACAGAGAAUUAGGAAUACAAUAUGGACAAUCACUGUUAAACAUUUGUAACUUUUCCAAAUAACGUGUUUUGGCCUCAAUACUAAGUCCACUGGCAUAAUUAGACAGUGACAUAGUUAAACACUAACACUAUAACGAACUAAUAUAUAAAGAAAACACAUCAGAACUUCAAAACAACCCCCUUUUCUAUCACUGUUU